CCUGCGGAGCUGGAGCGAGAGGAGCCCGAGCAUCCGCGCCGCCAGGGCCCUUAGCGACCCGGCCCUUCUGUCCCUGCGCUGCACGACUGGGGAACCCGAGACUCAGAGCAGGAGCGUGGCUGGCCAGGGUCACCCCGUCUGUAUUGUCUCUACUGGCACCAGAAAGCUGCACCAGGAACACAAAGUUCCCUCUCCCAGCCAUCGCUGAAUUGGGUAUGUAGAAUGGGUUUUAAAAAAGCAGCAACAGAUGUGGCCCUCUCUCUCUGGUUAAGCCAACUUGAAAGGAGAAAUCACUGCCCUCCCCCCUACGUGGGAUCAGACACCCAGGGGAGUGAAUCUUCCUGGCAACGUG